rnacentral:rRNA from 1 species
CAGGAGCGUAUAUUAAAGUUGUUGCAGUUAAAAAGCUCGUAGUUGGAUUUCUGGUACAAUGCGCCUGGCCCGCGACCGUUAGGUCUGUGAGUGCCGGUGCGCGUUUGCCAUCCUUCUAGAAAACGUUUCUACCCUUCACUGGGCCGGACUCGCGAUCUAGAUCUUUUACUUUGAAAAAAUUAGAGUGUUUAAAGCAGGCUUUUGCUGUGAAUACAUUAGCAUGGAAUAAUAAUCCAGGACUUCGGUUCUAUUUUGUUGGUUUCUAGUACUGAAGUAAUGAUUGAUAGGGAUAGUUGGGGGUGCUAGUAUUGGCCGGCCAGAGGUGAAAUUCUUGGAUUCGGUCAAGACUAACUUAUGCGAAAGCAUUCACCAAGGAUGUCUCCGUUAA